CUGGUGGGCAGGCAGCGGGACGGGGGGUGCUCCCAGCUGGAAUGAUCCGAGCCAAUUUGGAGGAAAAUAGACCUCCAGACUGUGGGGAGCAGGUGUUGGGAGGCGGGGGCAAGAAGGGAUCUUCACCUGCCCCAGCCGCAGUGGCCAGGGGUGCUCUCUCUUGGGCAAUCGGCAAAGACGAUGUGAAGAAGCACCAGCCCCCUCCCCUUCCUGUGGGCACCCACACCCAGAGCCCUCACGCUGCCCUCUCUGAUGGAGCCCAGGGCCGGGCCCAGUGCACACUUCCUUGUAAACCAACUGUCGCCUGCACAGGGCCAGGCGCCAGCACACACCGUCUGCCGAGCGCCGUUCAUCUCCGCGCUUGCUCAUUUCCACAGCUGCCAACAGGCACGCUCUGAGCAUCCCCAGGGCUCUGAGCCAGGUGGCUGGGAGCGCAGUGUGACCCUGCCCUGGGAGAGGCCUCAGCCCAGGGACCUGCAAAGCCAGCACAUAACCAAGUUGCCAAGAACUUUACUAAUGCUGA
rnacentral:lncRNA from 1 species